rnacentral:lncRNA from 1 species
GUGGAAUUGUUCCCUUACUAUCUGCUGCUUUAUCGACUGAAAUUGAUCAAGGCUACAACAAAAACAUUUCUAGAAAUCAUUUGAAUGCGGUAGGAAAAACUCUGGGAAUGGAGUCAGAAGAAAGUAUAUUUUGGAGUGUGUUUUCAGGUCUAAAAUUAUUUGCCAGAAAUAUUCUUCAAUGGAACCUCCAGACUGAGUAGGAAAACAGGGCAUACUAUUUUUUGAAAGGCAUGAGCAGGAAUGAAAUAAAUGCCGUCCAAAGGGAAUGCAAGACAUGCAAUUCGAGGAUACCUUGCUUUAGGAUAAACCCUCCAAAGGAUUUAAACCUCAGACACAGGGAGCUGACCUAUUCACCUUAGAAUCCUCUGGGGCACCCAUUACAGUGUCUGUACCAAGGAGGCAACAAAGAACGGCAGAACAGACUGGAGCAGAAGGACAACCCAGCAGAGCCAAGCCAAAUCACUGACCCUCAGAGGCCUGAUGUGAAUGCUUCUGGCUUCAGUCCAUUGGAUUCUGCAGUAAUCUGCCGAUCUACAGUAUUACCACAGUAAAUAACCGAUAGACCUGAAAACGAAUGCAUGCCUCGUGCCAAAAUUGCAGGAAACCUCACCAGCAGAAACAAUUUUAUAUGAGGGAAUGUACUCUCUCCUUUGCAUUUUUCCUCAAAUCUAUAUUUUUAGCCCCUCACUUGUCUCUACAGAGCCUCAGUUGCUUAAUCUAAUUGCUGACUGAACAUCUCCAGGAAACUGUGUUGAGCACAACAUUUUACCCACGUGCCUGAUGGACAGGCCAAGCUGAAUGGAAGACUUCUGAGGCACUGGAGCAGAAGGGAAAACUUGCACAUGGUCACAAAGGACUUCACACUGUUCCAUCCCCUCUACUGCCAUCCAAGAGGCCUCUUGACUCUUCCAGAAUCAGAUGUAAAAGACAAGGUCAGUAAAAUCAGUAUCCAUGCCACCUGAAG